rnacentral:rRNA from 1 species
UACAGAGGUCUCGAGCGUUGUUCGGAUUCAUUGGGCGUAAAGGGUGCGUGGGUGGCGCCGUAAGUCGGGUGUGAAAUUUCGGAGCUUAACUCCGAAACUGCAUUCGAUACUGCGGUGCUUGAGGACUGGAGAGGAGACUGGAAUUCAUGGUGUAGCAGUGAAAUGCGUAGAGAUCAUGAGGAAGACCAGUGGCGAAGGCGGGUCUCUGGACAGUUCCUGACACUGAGGCACGAAGGCCAGGGGAGCAAACGGG